rnacentral:lncRNA from 1 species
CUCCUUUCGGCACUUGCUGUCAUCACCAUGGCCAGCUACAAAUCCAGCGGGGAUGGCUGGCCAGGAUGUGACGGACAGCCUUGCUCUUACGAUGUCAAAUCAAGGACACAGAGCUGUCCACCACGAUGUCGUUGCAUCAUAAACGAAACCACUAGCAGCUAUCAGAGGGGCUUCUGUUGGACAUGAGCGUUCAAGCACUCUGC